rnacentral:lncRNA from 1 species
UUCACAAUCACACCACCACCUUUACCACCGAAGAGAGAAACGCGAGCAACCAGCGAUCGCCCCAUGGCCGCCAUGGCUCGUUCCGUCUCCCUCGUCGUGGCGCCCCUGCUCCUCCUCUCCCUCCUCGUCUCCGCCGCGGCCAGCGCGCGGACCGUGGGCGACACCGUGCAGGACGCGUGCAGCAAGACCCAGUUCCCCAAGAUCUGCGUGGACAGCCUCGCCGCCAAGCCGGAGAGCCAGAAGGCGACGCCGCGCAAGCUGGCGGAGCUGUUCGUGAACAUCGCGGCCGAGAAGGGGUCCGGGAUGGCCACCUUCGUGCACCGCAAGUACAGCGACAAGGAGGACAGCGACAUGUUCAGGUGCUACGACAGCUGCUCCGACGACGUGGAGGAGGCCGUCGCCCACCUCAACGGCCUCGUCCGGGAGCCCACCGACGCCAAGUUCCUCGAGCUCAAGUCGUGGCUCUCCUCCACGCUCGGCGGCACCUCCACCUGCGAGGACGCCUGCAAGGACCUGCCCAAGACCAGCGACAAGGACGACGUCGUCAACUUCAGCCUCGACUUCGAGAAGCUGCAGCGCGUCACGCUCGACCUCAUCACCGAGGCGUCCGGCACCAUGUCCGCAGGCAUCGCCCUGCCACCCUCCAACGCCGGAGCGCCCUCCUACGGCGCGGCGGCGCCUUCCGGGGGCUCCGCCGAUGCCCCCGCCGGCGCCUCCGAGGGCCCUGCGAGCGCCAGCGGCCCGUCUGGUGACGACGCGCCGGCGUCCGGUGCUGGUGCCAGCGCGUCGGCUGCUGAUGCUCCGGCGGCGGCGGCCUCAUCCGGUCCCUCUAGCGCACCAGCGCCAUCGUCGUCGUCUGAGUCCUCCGCCGCACCAGGCCCAUCUUCUGAUGGCACCUCCAGCGCCCCAGCACCAUCGUCCGGCGACGAUUCUGAUUCCGACGACGAUGGGUCAGCUUGAGCCUGACCGAUGACGCGGGUUUGGGUUACCGGUGCCACUCAAAAUACGAUCCCUUUUAUUGUAAAAGAGGGAUCCCUUCUUUCCAUUGCAUUCUUGCAAUCCGUUUCUUCUUGACUAUGUUUCUUCUUGACUAUGUAACGAUAAUAACAUGAGAAAAUUAUCUGAAUGACAUUAUAUUUUUUCUAAUGCUUUAUUUAUCAUCGCAAAUAUCUUAAUUAAUUCUUUCUAUACCACUUAAAUGUACUUU